rnacentral:lncRNA from 1 species
CGGGUUGUAUCCUUUAUAGUGAAACUGUAAUUUAAAGAUCUCCCUGUUGAAGCACUUCCUGCUACCCAACCCACCCAGAGACUCCUGCCUCCUGGGGCCAGGGAGGCAAUCAGCCAGCCAGGAACCAGCUGCACCAGUGGGUCUCCCAUGAAGGAGGGGCCUCCCCGAAGCCUCAGUGCCAGUCAUGCCUGAGGGAGAGCACGUUUAUACACAAAGGACCUUCCUAUCUGGGAAACAGAACGCGAGGGUGGUGGAGCAGCCAGUCCAUCCUCCUCCCGGAAGCACCGCCGACAAAGGUGGAGAAACUGCAGAGGCCUCCUCUUGACUUUGGCCAGAUGGAAUCUGUGUUUCUGGAAGAGAUGAGAGAAAAAGAGCAGCCCUGAGCUCAACAGGUUGCAGACAGGGAAAUGGAGGCUCUGAAACGUUAAGUGAGGUUAACAGCUAAGUGAUGAGUCACAACCCAAAGGCAAGGCUUCCGUCGCCAGCUUCACGGAGGCCCUCCCUGGGCAGAGCGGCAAGGACACAGAGCGGAGCAGAGUUCUGGAGCCAGCUCCUGUUACCAAGUGUAGGCUCCCUACCCCCCACACGAGAGGGGCUGAAUAAAACUGGAACACCA